rnacentral:snoRNA from 1 species
UAUCACAGUGAUGGCUAACCAGGGCCCCUGACCUAUGCAGAUCUCUGCUAUGGGGGUGAUGGCCAACCCUGGUGUCUGAGUGAUU